rnacentral:tRNA from 2 species
CUGCCAGGGUCGCGGCCGCGACGAGUCCGUUGGGACCGGACCCGAUGACCACUGCGUCGACGUUGUUCACUCGACCAGGCUGUC